rnacentral:rRNA from 1 species
GAUGAACGCUGGCGGCGUGCCUAAUACAUGCAAGUCGAGCGAAUGGAUUAAGAGCUUGCUCUUAUGAAGUUAGCGGCGGACGGGUGAGUAACACGUGGGUAACCUGCCCAUAAGACUGGGAUAACUCCGGGAAACCGGGGCUAAUACCGGAUAACAUUUUGAACCGCAUGGUUCGAAAUUGAAAGGCGGCUUCGGCUGUCACUUAUGGAUGGACCCGCGUCGCAUUAGCUAGUUGGUGAGGUAACGGCUCACCAAGGCAACGAUGCGUAGCCGACCUAGGAGGGUGGUCGGCCAAACGGGGACUGAGACACGCGCCAAACUCCUACGGGAGGCAGCAGUAGGGAGUCUUCCGCAAUGGACGAAAGUCUGACGGAGCAACGCCGCGUGAGUGAUGAAGGCUUUCGGGUCGUAAAACUCUGUUGUUAGGGAAGAACAAGUGCUAGUUGAAUAAGCUGACACCUUGACGGUACCUAACCAGAAAGCCACGGCUAACUACGUGCCAGCAGCCGCCGUAA